CCUUUUUCCAAUCAGUGAAACUAAUCUCCCCGUGAAGAAGCGAGGAUACUAUUAUAAGACGAGAAGACCCCAUGGAGCUUCAAACCCAACUGCACCCCCAAUUUACAUAACCUCUAAAUCUCUGGGAUCCUGCACCGUUGGUUUUAGGUUGGGGCGACCACGGAGUACAACAAAACCUCCACAAUGAACGGGACUAUUCCCUUAUCUAAGAGUCACAUCUCUAAGAAUUAAUAUAUUAAUAUAAAAUGAUCCAUUUUUUGAUCAAUGAACCAAGUUACCCUGGGGAUAACAGCGCAAUCCAUUUCAAGAGCCCCUAUCGACAAAUGGGAUUACG
rnacentral:rRNA from 1 species